GUAACUAACACUACUUUCUUUUAUAUAAUACUAGCUGACCCGACAGACGUUGUCCUGUCUUAACGAUGAUUAUUUAAUUCGAAUUGGUAUAAUUAA